rnacentral:rRNA from 1 species
CCAGGCUUGAACAGCGAGUGACACACUCCGAAAGGGGUCUUCCGCAAGGACACUCGUAGAGGUGCUGCAUGGCUGUCGUCAGCUCGUGUCGUGAGAUGUUGGGUUAAGUCCCGCAACGAGCGCAACCCUUGUUUGCUGUUGCCAUCACGUUAUGGUGGGCACUCUGCAGAGACUGCCGGUGAUAAACCGGAGGAAGGUGGGGAUGACGUCAAGUCAGCAUGGCCUUUAUGUCUGGGGCUACACACGUGCUACAAUGGCCGGUACAAACCGUCGCGAUACCGUCAGGUGGAGCUAAUCGGAGAAAGCCGGUCUCAGUUCGGAUUGCAGGCUGCAACUCGCCUGCAUGAAGUUGGAAUCGCUAGUAAUCGCGGAUCAGCACGCCGCGGUGAAUACGUUCCCGGGCCUUGUACACACCGCCCGUCACAUCACGAAAGCCGGUUGUACUAGAAGUCGCCAUACCAACCCGCAAGGGAGAGAGGCGCCUAAGGUAUGGUCGGUGAUUGGGGUG